CUGUGGAGUGUUAUAUAAACGAAAGUAGGAAUAGUCUUAGGCUGACCAAAAUCGGACACGAUGAAACAGUAA
rnacentral:sRNA from 1 species